GGAGUCUGGGCCGUGUCUCAGUCCCAAUGUGGCCGUCCGCCCUCUCAGGCCGGCUACUGAUCGUCGCUUUGGUGGGCCUUUACCCCGCCAACUGGCUAAUCAGAUGCGGAUCCAUUCCAUCCCGGAUCUCUCCUUUUCACACUGUGUGAUGCCACACCGUGCGCUUAUGCGGUAUUACCAGCCGUUUCCAGCUGCUAUCCCCCAGAUUGGACCAGGUUAUCCACACGUUACUCACCCGUCCGCCACUAAGCUGCAACAUGAUUCGCUUUGUACAAGUACUCCACUCCUCUGCGUUGCCGCUCCGUUCGACUUGCAUGUGUUAGGCACGCCGCCAGCGUUCAUC
rnacentral:rRNA from 1 species